rnacentral:rRNA from 1 species
UACGUAGGGUGCGAGCGUUGUCCGGAAUUAUUGGGCGUAAAGCGUGCGCAGGCGGUCUUUUAAGUCAGAUGUGAAAUCCCCGGGCUUAACCUGGGAACUGCGUUUGAAACUGAAAGGCUAGAGUGUGGCAGAGGGGGGUGGAAUUCCACGUGUAGCAGUGAAAUGCGUAGAGAUGUGGAGGAACACCGAUGGCGAAGGCAGCCCCCUGGGCUAACACUGACGCUCAUGCACGAAAGCGUGGGGAGCAAACAGG